UACGUAGGGUGCAAGCGUUGUCCGGAAUUAUUGGGCGUAAAGAGCUCGUAGGCGGCCUGUCGCGUCGGCUGUGAAAACCUGGGGCUCAACCCCGGGCCUGCAGCCGAUACGGGCAGGCUAGAAUUCGGUAGGGGAGACCGGAAUUCCUGGUGUAGCGGUGAAAUGCGCAGAUAUCAGGAGGAACACCGGUGGCGAAGGCGGGUCUCUGGGCCGAUAUUGACGCUGAGGAGCGAAAGCGUGGGGAGCAAACAGG
rnacentral:rRNA from 1 species